GACGAACGCUGGCGGCGUGCUUAACACAUGCAAGUCGAACGGAAAGGCCCUGCUUGCCGGGUACUCGAGUGGCGAACGGGUGAGUAACACGUGGGUGAUCUGCCCUGCACUUCGGGAUAAGCCUGGGAAACUGGGUCUAAUACCGGAUAGGAGCCAUUUUUAGUGUGAUGGUUGGAAAGUUUUUUCGGUGUAGGAUGAGCUCGCGGCCUAUCAGCUUGUUGGUGGGGUAAUGGCCUACCAAGGCGGCGACGGGUAGCCGGCCUGAGAGGGUGGACGGCCACAUUGGGACUGAGAUACGGCCCAGACUCCUACGGGAGGCAGCAGGGGGGAAUAUUGCACAAUGGGCGCAAGCCUGAUGCAGCGACGCCGCGUGGGGGAUGACGGCCUUCGGGUUGUAAACUCCUUUCGCUAGGGACGAAGCUUUUUGUGACGGUACCUAGAGAAGAAGCACCGGCUAACUACGUG
rnacentral:rRNA from 1 species